CACAUUACCAGCCAAUUUUUGAAACCUACCCCCAAAUUUCUUCCGAUCUCCACGCCUCCACCGCCACCGCCACCGCCGGUGGUUGUAGCAGCCGCCGCCACACCCCCACUACGAAUCUCUCUCUUCUGCGACACUUUCUCCUUCUUUCUCCAUUUUUCUGUGUUUGUAGGGGAAAUCGGGAUGGAAGGAGUGUGCAGAUGUUGGAUCAGUGGGUGUUUAGGGUUUUCCUAAGAAAGAAUGAAGAAGGAAGAGCAGGGGCGGAAGGUGGUGGUGGGGGCUGCGGAAGGCGGUGGUUGGUCGGCGGUUACGGUGGUGGUCGGCGGUUACGGUGGCGGUUGGUAUUUUGGCGGUUACGAUGGUAGGGCAGGUGGUUGAUGGGGAGACGGCGCCGGAAGAUACAUAUAUGGAACAGAUCUUCAAGUUUAGAUCUGAAUCAAGGUGUUCACUGUUCUCCGGUGACCAAGUCGCCGCCGGCAGUGAUGUCGCCGAUUGCUCCUCCCCAUUCUGCCUCCGUCUCUGGUGAUUUUCUUUAUUUUUUAAGAAGCUUCAUUUUUUCUUGCUUUUUGGCUAUGGUGCCGAUUCAAUCUGAUUUGUGUGGUUGUGGGUUGAUUUUUGCGGCUGUGAUUUUUGUGGCUGUGAUUUUCUUUAUUUUUUAAGAAGCUUCAUUUUUUCUUAAUUUGUGUGGUUGUGGGUUGUGGGUUGAUUUGUGUGGUUGUGGGCUUGAAUGUUGUUCAUGUUCAAUCUGGGUAUUCAUGAUGUUAUUGAGACCUUUUUUGAUCUUGUUGAAUCUGCGUUUGAAUGAUAUUCUGUUUUUGAAUGA